CAACGCAGCAACACGUAUUCCUUUUCUCUCUGCUCCCGAUACCUUUUUGGGAAGCUUGGCAAAUUCUUUACAAAACACUUCCUUGAGCCAGGAGCUGAGAUGUUGCAUACACAGAAACAAGAGAGCUCUUGGGAGCACCUAAUUGAGUCGGACAGGAAUGGGAAGCAGUGAUGUAACACAAAGCCAGUGCAGAAUGGAGCAAAAAGCAACAGCUUCUACAGACCCGCUCCUUCUGUGCUGCGUAUAUAUUUACUCCUAAUUUCAGCAGAAGCUUUCAGCACAACGUUUAUCUGCAGAUGAAGGAUCACCAAAUGCUUACAACUGAAGGAAAUGAACAUCAAAGGUAUCCAGUAAAUUAUUUUGGGAGUUGGAUUUUUCACAGAGCAAGUCUCACUUUUUGUAAGUUCUGUUUUCUAUAAAAAAAAUACAGUUUAUGUAUGGUUUGAAGACAGAAUCUAGCUGUGCAUUACGGUGGGCUCUGGUUUGUAUGUCUGACAGCUGAGCUGUAAGUGAACGUGACAGCUUUGUGGCCAAAAGGAAGUCCCGAGACUCAGCUUCCAGAACUCAGGUUCAGUGAAGUGAGAGAGGAUCUUGUUUUUCUUUCUUGCGUGUGUGUGGAGGUGUUUACACCAGAGUACGAUCAAAAUAGCCGACUACAAGGAUGUGUUGAAGUCAAACUCGCAGACCGUUUUAUUCCCAGUCACACCACUUGUAACAAGAGAGAUGAUAUUUCUAGAAAAGGAGGAAUGUAUACUUGAAGGGAGAAGAGUUAGAAGAUAACUGGAGCCAAACAGUAGAAACCCACAAGAGCUGCACUGGUUCAGCCAUUGUGUGGUCAGUGGUCACCAACCACAAGAUAUAUAUUUUUCAUUCCUCUUUAUUGUAGCAGAAUUUGAACAUGACUUAAGGAAGAACUAAGGUUUCUUGGGGCUUUACGUACAAAACCUUUGUGUUAUCUUUUUCUGUAAAGCAAAAUUAUUUUUAGAAUUUAAAUUAAAAAUAAGUAAAUAAAUACCAUUUGCUUAUGCUUUUCCUGCUCUUUGAAAGGCCGUAUAGCCUCUGAGAGAAUUUUCCCUUCCCUUCCCUUCCCUUCCCUUCCCUUCCCUUCCCUUCCCUUCCCUUCCCUUCCC
rnacentral:lncRNA from 1 species